UCUGGCGGCAGUAGCGCGGUGGUCCCACCUGACCCCAUGCCGAACUCAGAAGUGAAACGCCGUAGCGCCGAUGGUAGUUGAACGUUGCGCAGCAACGGCCCGUAGGGUGGCGGGCAGGA
rnacentral:rRNA from 1 species